UAGGGAAUCUUCGGCAAUGGACGAAAGUCUGACCGAGCAACGCCGCGUGAGUGAAGAAGGUUUUCGGAUCGUAAAACUCUGUUGUUAGAGAAGAACAAGGACGUUAGUAACUGAACGUCCCCUGACGGUAUCUAACCAGAAAGCCACGGCUAACUACGUGCCAGCAGCCGCGGUAAUACGUAGGUGGCAAGCGUUGUCCGGCUUUAUUGGGCGUAAAGCGAGCGCAGGCGGUUUCUUAAGUCUGAUGUGAAAGCCCCCGGCUCAACCGGGGAGGGUCAUUGGAAACUGGGAGACUUGAGUGCAGAAGAGGAGAGUGGAAGUCCAUGUGUAGCGGUGAAAUGCGUAGAUAUAUGGAGGAACACCAGUGGCGAAGGCGGCUCUCUGGUCUGUAACUGACGCUGAGGCUCGAAAGCGUGGGGAGCAAACAGG
rnacentral:rRNA from 1 species